rnacentral:rRNA from 1 species
UGGGGAAUAUUGGACAAUGGGCGCAAGCCUGAUCCAGCCAUGCCGCGUGGAUGAAGAAGGCCCUAGGGUUGUAAAAUCCUUUCGCUAGGGAAGAUAAUGACGGUACCUAGUAAAGAAGCCCCGGCUAAUUUCGUGCCAGCAGCCGCGGUAAUACGAAAGGGGCUAGCGUUGUUCGGAAUUACUGGGCGUAAAGCGCGCGUAGGCGGCCUACCAAGUUAGAGGUGAAAUCCCGGGGCUCAACUCCGGAACUGCCUUUAAAACUGGUAAGCUAGAGGAUGUGAGAGGAGUGUGGAAUUCCGAGUGUAGAGGUGAAAUUCGUAGAUAUUCGGAAGAACACCAGUGGCGAAGGCGACACUCUGGCGCAUUUCUGACGCUGAGGCGCGAAAGCGUGGGGAGCAAACAGGAUUAGAUACCCCCGUAGUCC